CUUUUCUUCAGAGUGCAUAAAUCUUUCGUCUUUUACUAAAGAUUUUCAUGGAGAGGAAAUUUUAAUGAAUUUUUCGAGGCCUUGCCUUGUCAGGGCU
rnacentral:snRNA from 1 species